rnacentral:rRNA from 1 species
UACGAAGGGGGCUAGCGUUGCUCGGAAUCACUGGGCGUAAAGGGCGCGUAGGCGGGUCUUUAAGUCAGGGGUGAAAUCCUGGAGCUCAACUCCAGAACUGCCUUUGAUACUGAAGAUCUUGAGUUCGGGAGAGGUGAGUGGAACUGCGAGUGUAGAGGUGAAAUUCGUAGAUAUUCGCAAGAACACCAGUGGCGAAGGCGGCUCACUGGUCCGGUACUGACGCUGAUGUGCGAAAGCGUGGGGAGCAAACAGG